rnacentral:rRNA from 1 species
AUUGAACGCUGGCGGCAUGCCUUACACAUGCAAGUCGAACGGCAGCACGGGUGCUUGCACCUGGUGGCGAGUGGCGAACGGGUGAGUAAUACAUCGGAACAUGUCCUGUAGUGGGGGAUAGCCCGGCGAAAGCCGGAUUAAUACCGCAUACGAUCUACGGAUGAAAGCGGGGGACCUUCGGGCCUCGCGCUAUAGGGUUGGCCGAUGGCUGAUUAGCUAGUUGGUGGGGUAAAGGCCUACCAAGGCGACGAUCAGUAGCUGGUCUGAGAGGACGACCAGCCACACUGGGACUGAGACACGGCCCAGACUCCUACGGGAGGCAGCAGUGGGGAAUUUUGGACAAUGGGCGAAAGCCUGAUCCAGCAAUGCCGCGUGUGAAGAAGGCCUUCGGGUUGUAAAGCACUUUUGUCCGGAAAGAAAUCCUUGGCCCUAAUACGGUCGGGGGAUGACGGUACCGGAAGAAUAAGCACCGGCUAACUACGUG